GUGUUCAGGGUGCGAUCAGGAUCAUGUGUGUCCAGCUCUGUGUCUCUGAAGAGUGACUGCUCAAAAGAAGAUCCACCAAAGUUCAGUGAGAAAACACCAUCAUCUGCUCAAAGUGUGAGAUCAGGAUUAUGUGUGUCCAGCUUUGUGUCUCUGAAGAGUGACUGCUCAAAAGAAGAUCCACCAAAAUUCAGCGAAAAAACACCAUCAUCUGCUCAAAGUGAUGAAUAUGAGUUACCAGAUUCAGGACACAAGACUCACAGGAACCACAAGAGUUUCACAGACAAUCUCCAGUCGAUCUUCCAGGUGGGAAAAACUCAUUUUGAAUCAUAAUUAAAAUUCCUAUUAUUACAGUC
rnacentral:lncRNA from 1 species